rnacentral:rRNA from 1 species
UGGGGAAUAUUGGACAAUGGGCGAAAGCCUGAUCCAGCCAUGCCGCGUGUGUGAAGAAGGUCUUCGGAUUGUAAAGCACUUUAAGUUGGGAGGAAGGGCAGUAAGCGAAUACCUUGCUGUUUUGACGUUACCGACAGAAUAAGCACCGGCUAACUCUGUGCCAGCAGCCGCGGUAAUACGGAGGGUGCAAGCGUUAAUCGGAAUUACUGGGCGUAAAGCGCGCGUAGGUGGUUCGUUAAGUUGAAUGUGAAAGCCCCGGGCUCAACCUGGGAACUGCAUCCAAAACUGGCGAGCUAGAGUAGGGCAGAGGGUGGUGGAAUUUCCUGUGUAGCGGUGAAAUGCGUAGAUAUAGGAAGGAACACCAGUGGCGAAGGCGACCACCUGGGCUCAUACUGACACUGAGGUGCGAAAGCGUGGGGAGCAAACAGG